GACGGGGCCCGCACAAGCGGUGGAGCAUGUGGUUAAUUCGAAGCAACGCGAAGAACCUUACCAGGCCUUGACAUGCAGAGAACUUUCCAGAGAUGGAUUGGUGCCUUCGGGAACUCUGACACAGGUGCUGCACGGCUGUCGUCAGCUCGUGUCGCGAGAUGUUGGGUUAAGUCCCGCAACGAGCGCAACCCUUGUCCUUAGUUACCAGCACGUUAUGGUGGGCACUCUAAGGAGACUGCCGGUGACAAACCGGAGGAAGGUGGGGAUGACGUCAAGUCAUCAUGGCCCUUACGGCCUGGGCUACACACGUGCUACAAUGGUCGGUACAAAGGGUUGCCAAGCCGCGAGGUGGAGCUAAUCCCAUAAAACCGAUCGUAGUCCGGAUCGCAGUCUGCAACUCGACUGCGUGAAGUCGGAAUCGCUAGUAAUCGUGAAUCAGAAUGUCACGGUGAAUACGUUCCCGGGCCUU
rnacentral:rRNA from 1 species